GCAGGUGACAUAGUUGAUCCGGUCUUUCCAGCUGCGCACCUGUUACCCAUCAUGAUCAACGGACUAUCAACAGACUUCCAA